AGCGAACGCUGGCGGCAGGCCUAACACAUGCAAGUCGAACGAACCUUUCGGGGUUAGUGGCGGACGGGUGAGUAACACGUGGGAACGUGCCUUUAAGUUCGGAAUAACUCAGGGAAACUUGUGCUAAUACCGAAUGUGCCCUUCGGGGGAAAGAUUUAGCGCCUUUAGAGGGGCCCGCGUCCGAUUAGCUAGUGGGUUGAGGGAAUGGCGCACCAAGGCGGCGAGAAGUAGGUGGUCUGAGAGGAUGAGCAGACACAUUGGGACUGAGACACGGCCCAAAAUCCUACGGGAGGCAGCAGUGCGGAAUCUUGCGCAAUGGGCGAAAGCAUGACGCAGCCAUGCCGCGUGAAUGAUGUAGGUCUUAGGAUUGUAAAAUUCUUUCACCGGGGACGAUAAUGACGGUACCCGGAGAAGAAGCCCCGGCUAACUUCGUG
rnacentral:rRNA from 1 species